GUCAGGAUGGCCGAGCGGUCUAAGGCGCCAGACUCAAGGAAAACCUUCCCCUGCUGCAGGGCUGAGUGUUCUGGUCCACGGAUGUGGGCGUGCGUUCGAAUCCCACUUCUGACA
rnacentral:tRNA from 13 species